CCUACGGGAGGCAGCAGUGGGGAAUAUUGCACAAUGGGGGAAACCCUGAUGCAGCGACGCCGCGUGAGUGAAGAAGUAUUUCGGUAUGUAAAGCUCUAUCAGCAGGGAAGAAGAAAGACGGUACCUGACUAAGAAUCCCCGGCAAACUACGUGCCAGCAGCGGCGUUAUUACGUAGGGGGCAAGCUUUAUCCGGAUUUACUGGGCGUAAAGGGAGCGUAGACGGCAGUGCAAGUCUGAAGUGAAAGCCGAGGGCUCAACCCUGGGACUGCUUUGGAAACUGUGGGGCUGGAGUGCGGGAGAGGAAAGUGGAAUUCCUAGGUGAGCGGUGAAAUGCGUAGAGAUUAGGAGGAACACCAGUGGCGAAGGCGGCUUACUGGACUGUAACUGACGUUGAGGCUCGAAAGCGUGGGGAGCAAACAGGAUGAGAUACCCGAGUAGUC
rnacentral:rRNA from 1 species